AAGUCAGACGUGAAAGCCUUCUGUUCAACGGAAGAAUUGCAUCUGAAACUACAAACCUUGAGUGUAGGAGGGGAGAAUGGAACUUCUGGUGGAGCGGUGAAACGCGUAGAUAUCAGAAGGAACGCCGGCGGCGAAAGCGAUUCUCUGGCCUAUUACUGACACUCAGUGUGCGAAAGCUAGGGGAGCAAACGGGAUUAGAUACCCCGGUGGUCUUAGCCGUAAACGAU
rnacentral:rRNA from 1 species